rnacentral:lncRNA from 1 species
CCUGCACAAUUUCACAAAUUUAUUUUGAGAGACUUAUUUUUCAAUUAUCAAUUUCAUAGUUACUUUUUACCCAAAAAAACAAAAAUUAUUUCUAAAAAUAAAUAUUAACUUACGUGAUCAUCAUGUGAUAUUCACGUGUUCAAAAUUUCGCAAUGUGGCCAUAAUUGUACUUGAAUGUAGAGUUUUUGUAUUUUAUGGUAUGGCAGUUCAAUUUUGGACCCCCCACCAUAAAAACCAUAAACAGAGAAUAUUGGCACGUGCCAGCACGUGGUCAGUAAUGAAAUUUUUGUCUAUAUUUUUCACGCUUAAAAUAAAUAGGUAAGUUGGUUUAAAAUAAGUCUUACAUCUUUGUCAAAAUAAGUGUGUUAUAAAAGUUAUUUUCCCAAAUGUCCAUGAUUUUAAGUAGAAAAUGUUACAUAGCCCCCGUUUGAUAGCAAUUGUUCAUUCAAAAAAAUUAAUUUUUUAACCAUUAUUUUACUAUUUCAGCAGUCAUUUUUUACUUCUUCACUCACAGGUGGAACCUACUUUUCAUUAUAACGAUCAAAAAAUCAAUUCUCAUAAUCACUACCAAACAAACCAUAUUUUAAAAUCUUCUCCUAGCUUAAAAUAAAAUAUAAGUGACUUAAAUUUGACUGUGUCAUAAACCAAGCAAAUUAUGCCAUAGGUAGGGGUAAAUGAGCUUACCAUGACAUUCCAAAUGAGUUUUUCGGGCUGAGUAUUUUAAAUUUGACUGUGUCAUAAACCAAGCAAAUUAUGCCAUAGGUAGGGGUAAAUGAGCUUACCAUGACAUUCCAAAUGAGUUUUUCGGGCUGAGUAUUGAGGGUUUCAUCCCAGGCCCGAACUGCAAUUUC